rnacentral:rRNA from 1 species
AUUGAACGCUGGCGGCAUGCCUUACACAUGCAAGUCGAACGGUAACAGGUCUUCGGAUGCUGACGAGUGGCGAACGGGUGAGUAAUACAUCGGAACGUGCCUAGUAGUGGGGGAUAACUACUCGAAAGAGUGGCUAAUACCGCAUGAGAUCUACGGAUGAAAGCAGGGGAUCGCAAGACCUUGUGCUACUCAAGCGGCCGAUGGCAGAUUAGGUAGUUGGUGGGAUAAAAGCUUACCAAUCCGACGAUCUGUAGCUGGUCUGAGAGGACGAUCAGCCACACUGGGACUGAGACACGGCCCAGACUCCUACGGGAGGCAGCAGUGGGGAAUUUUGGACAAUGGGCGCAAGCCUGAUCCAGCAAUGCCGCGUGCAGGAUGAAGGCCUUCGGGUUGUAAACUGCUUUUGUACGGAACGAAAAGCCCUGGGUUAAUACCCUGGGGUCAUGACGGUACCGUAAGAAUAAGCACCGGCUAACUACGUGCCAGCAGCCGCCGUAA